rnacentral:rRNA from 1 species
AUUGAACGCUGGCGGCAUGCCUUACACAUGCAAGUCGAACGGCAGCACGGGAGCAAUCCUGGUGGCGAGUGGCGAACGGGUGAGUAAAGUAUCGGAACGUGCCCAGUCGUGGGGGAUAACGUAGCGAAAGUUACGCUAAUACCGCAUACGAUCUAUGGAUGAAAGCGGGGGAUCGCAAGACCUCGCGCGAUUGGAGCGGCCGAUAUCAGGUUAGGUAGUGGGUGGGGUAAAGGCUCACCAAGCCGACGAUCUGUAGCUGGUCUGAGAGGACGACCAGCCACACUGGGACUGAGACACGGCCCAGACUCCUACGGGAGGCAGCAGUGGGGAAUUUUGGACAAUGGGCGAGAGCCUGAUCCAGCCAUGCCGCGUGCAGGAUGAAGGCCUUCGGGUUGUAAACUGCUUUUGUACGGAACGAAAAGGUUUGGGCUAAUAAGCUGAGCUCAUGACGGUACCGUAAGAAUAAGCACCGGCUAACUACGUGCCAGCCGCCGCGGUAA